rnacentral:rRNA from 1 species
ACUACGGGAGGCAGCAGUGGGGAAUAUUGCGCAAUGGGCGAAAGCCUGACGCAGCGACGCCGCGUGAGGGAUGAAGGUCUUCGGAUCGUAAACCUCUGUCAGCAGGGAAGAACGGUCACUGUGCUAAUCAGCAGUGAAUUGACGGUACCUGCAAAGGAAGCACCGGCUAACUCCGUGCCAGCAGGCGCGGUAAUACGGAGGGUGCGAGCGGUAAUCGGAAUUACUGGGCGUAAAGCGCUCGUAGGCGGUAUGUCAAGUCAAGGGUGAAAUCCCCGCGCUCAACGUGGGAACUGCCUUUGAAACUGGCAAACUGGAGUGUGUGAGAGGAUAGUGGAAUUCCAGGUGUAGGAGUGAAAUCCGUAGAUAUCUGGAGGAACAUCAGUGGCGAAGGCGAUUAUCUGGCACAUAACUGACGCUGAGGAGCGAAAGCGUGGGUAGCAAACAGGAUUAGAUACCCUUGUAGUC